rnacentral:rRNA from 1 species
UACGAAGGGGGCUAGCGUUGCUCGGAAUUACUGGGCGUAAAGCGCACGUAGGCGGUUCGAUCAGUCAGGGGUGAAAUCCCAGGGCUCAACCCUGGAACUGCCUUUGAUACUGUCGAUCUGGAGUAUGGAAGAGGUGAGUGGAAUUCCGAGUGUAGAGGUGAAAUUCGUAGAUAUUCGGAGGAACACCAGUGGCGAAGGCGGCUCACUGGUCCAUUACUGACGCUGAGGUGCGAAAGCGUGGGGAGCAAACAGG